CUUUCCUACUCUCUUCCAAAUAUGUGGCAUGGAACUCUCUCUUUGGGGCUUACUACAAGGGGGAAGGGGAGAGAGAGGGGCCCUUCUGACCCUUGGCAGUCGUGGCGGCUGUUGGCACACAGAAGUGCACAUGUACGCUCCCUAAGUAAAUAUGAACCUGAAUUUCAGGACUGGGUGUCUUUUUCACUUGUGUUUCCUUCCCUGAGCAUAAGUGAUUGAAUAGUGAUCCUGUUUCCAACAGGACUUUUCCAACCUUAGAGGCAACCUCAUAAUCUAGAGUGCUCCUGGAUCCCUCAGUCAGAGCCGAAUGACAGCCAGAGGGGUCUUCUCCAAGGGCGCUCUAUUCAGAGAAGAUGAGUACAGAGGGAUGAUGAGUCCAAGCCCGGGUCUGGCUGGCCAGAAGACAUGGACCUUGAGGAUCAGUCAAAUCAGUACAGAUCCAAGGUGAAGAUCCUUUCAAACUGAGCCCUGGACAAAUCAAAUUGAAGAUGCCAUCAUCCUUUGGAACACCACAGAAUUGAUAUCUUAACAGCAUAACACUGCUCACUGACAGCAUUCACUCAAAGAUGCCAUUUCAGCAGACACAUUGAGGAAGUUUUCAAGAGGCCUUCACAGGUCUCUUCACCUACGGCUUAUCGGUAUCCAAACCCAAAAAGAAAUGCUACCAAGAUUGGAAAAGAAAAUGGUGGAUGAUUUUGCUGCCCCCUGCUGUCACAAUCAUUUAAUAGAAUCAGGGCUGAAAUUCACCACCAGGUUCAAAAUGCCUGAAGAUAUUGUUGACAAAAUAACUACGGUGCUUUACUGAGAGGCAUGUCCUCCCACUAUAUGCUUAAAUCCCAAGCCAUAAAGAAGCCUCAGAAACCCUAGACAAACUAAUGUUAAUAAACUUUAUUCCAUUUGUGUUA